AAUGGAUACGGGAAAAAUAGCAGACUCGCUCAUUCGCGAGGCGCAGAGCUACUUACAGAGUAAAUAAGCGUAUGACUCGUUUGUCAGAAAUACUUGACCAGAUGACCACCGUCCUGAAUGACCUGAACGCUCAACGGAUAAAAGGUACUCCGGGGAUAACAGGCUGAUACCGCCCAAGAGUUCAUAUCGACGGCGGUGUUUGGCACCUCGAUGUCGGCUCAUCACAUCCUGGGGCUGAAGUAGGUCCCAAGGGU
rnacentral:rRNA from 1 species